GCAAGGAAGAGGAAGAAAGAGUCUGUCUAAGAGCAGUGGGAAUGGGAACAUGGAGGAAAGCAUGAGCUAUGAGCUGGUAGCACCUCCAAAAUUAGAAGUGGGCAUUUGUCUCAUUGCUUUCCUGGUGCCUCCCAUUCCUAUUGUUCUUAGGUGCUCCUUCCUCUUCCGUUGGCUU
rnacentral:pre_miRNA from 2 species